rnacentral:rRNA from 1 species
GCCUGAUGCAGCGACGCCGCGUGAGGGAUGACGGCCUUCGGGUUGUAAACCUCUUUCAGCAGGGAAGAAGCGAAAGUGACGGUACCUGCAGAAGAAGCGCCGGCUAACUACGUGCCAGCAGCCGCGGUAAUACGUAGGGCGCAUGCGUUGUCCGGAAUUAUUGGGCGUAAAGAGCUCGUAGGCGGCUUGUCGCGUCGGAUGUGAAAGCCCGGGGCUUAACCCCGGGUCUGCAUUCGAUACGGGCAGGCUAGAGUUCGGUAGGGGAGAUCGGAAUUCCUGGUGUAGCGGUGAAAUGCGCAGAUAUCAGGAGGAACACCGGUGGCGAAGGCGGAUCUCUGGGCCGAUACUGACGCUGAGGAGCGAAAGCGUGGGGAGCGAACAGGAUUAGAUACCCUGGUAGUCCACGCCGUAACGUUGGGAACUAGGUGUGGGCGACAUUCCACGUCGUCCGUGCCGCAGCUACGCAUAAGUUCCCCGCCUGGGAGUACGGCCGCAGGCUAAACUCAAGGAAUUGACGGGGCCCGCACAAGCGGCGGAGCAGUGGCUAAUUCGACGCACGCGAGAACCUUACCAAGGCUUGACAUACACCGGAACACCCAGAGAUGGGUGCCCCCUUGUGGUCGUGUACAGGUGGUGCAUGGCUGUCGUCAGCUCGUGUCGUGAGAUGUUGGGUUAAGUCCCGCAACGAGC